AGGAGGCUGUUCAUACUCUGACUGAAGAAAAGGUUUUCUUUAGUUCAACCAUCCAGAUCUGCUCCUGUUGGAACAGGAAGCAGCAGCUGAGCCGCUACUUAGCGGCGCAGUGGAGGAUUUAUCACCCUGAUCUCAUCAGGCAGGAGUCGAGCACGGAUCGGCACUCAGGAUUAGUCGCAUGAAACAAAACUUCUGGGUUUUGUUUGAAUAAUGUUGUUUAAAAUAGAACAUAAACAGAAUUUUUCAGGACGAAAGGGAAAAACGGAAACAGAAGGAAAAAAAAACAACCAAACCUUCAGAGCUGAGGUCAGAAAACUGCAGAAAACAGUUUGUACAAAGGCUUUUGGGGGCACUAACUGUGGAUCUGAGCGUUGGAGGAGCAAUGAAAAGGUGUGAAAUCUGAAUUGAGAUGCAGCAGCUGCACAGAGCAGCCUCUUCAGCAGAGACACGGGGGAGAGCAGCAUUGUUUAAAGGCUUCUGGCCUGUUAAAUGAAUUCAUUUCGCCUGCCGGGGGAAGAGAGAUUCUGUCCUUCAACGAACUCCCAGAGGAGCCGAGGAUCAGCGGCGAGGGCGGCCGCAAAUCAAAUGCAAACAAAUAAAAACGCCUGUAAAGCGGCUCUUACUUUAGUCUGGCAACAAGGAGGAAGAAAAACAAAAAAACUGAAACUUUAUGAAAAGGUUUAAGAGGUGAGUUCAGACUUUUACCAUCAAGUUGACUUGAUUUAUGAACAAAAAAUGAAAUAAAGAUAAGCCA